GACGAACGCUGGCGGCGUGCUUAACACAUGCAAGUCGUACGGUAAGGCCCUUUCGGGGGUACACGAGUGGCGAACGGGUGAGUAACACGUGAGUAACCUGCCCACAACUUUGGGAUAACGCUAGGAAACUGGUGCUAAUACUGGAUAUGUGCUCCUGCUGCAUGGUGGGGGUUGGAAAGCUCCGGCGGUUGUGGAUGGACUCGCGGCCUAUCAGCUUGUUGGUGGGGUAGUGGCCUACCAAGGCGGCGACGGGUAGCCGGCCUGAGAGGGUGACCGGCCACAUUGGGACUGAGAUACGGCCCAGACUCCUACGGGAGGCAGCAGUGGGGAAUAUUGCACAAUGGGCGCAAGCCUGAAGCAGCAACGCCGCGUGCGGGAUGACGGCCUUCGGGUUGUAAACCGCUUUCAGCAGGGACGAAGCUUUUUGUGACGGUACCUGCAGAAGAAGCACCGGCUAACUACGUG
rnacentral:rRNA from 1 species